rnacentral:tRNA from 1 species
GUGAGUGUAGCUCAACGGUCAGAGCACUGGUCUGUGGCACCAGGGGUUGGGGGUUCAAUUCCCCUCACUCACCCCA